rnacentral:rRNA from 2 species
AAAUUGUUGAAAGGGAAGCGCUUGUGACCAGACUUGCGCCGGGCAGCUCAUCAGGGGUUCUCCCCUGUGCACUCUGCCCGGCUCAGGCCAGCAUCGGUUCUCGUGGGAGGAUAAGAACAGUGGGAACGUGGCCCCCUCUCGGGGGGGUGUUAUAGCCCACUGUACGAUACUCUCGUGGGGACCGAGGUUCGCGCUCCGCAAGGAUGCUGGCGUAAUGGUCAUCAGCGACCCGUCUUGAAACACGGACCAAGGAGUCGUCCAUUAGAGCGAGCGUUUGGGUGUAAAACCCGCACGCGUAAUGAAAGUGAACGCAGGUGAGAGCUUCGGCGCAUCAUCGACCGAUCCUGAUGUCUUCGGAUGGAUUUGAGUAAGAGUUUUAACGGACGGACCCGAAAGACAGUGAACUAUGCUUGUAUAGGGUGAAGCCAGAGGAAACUCUGGUGGAGGCUCGCAGCGGUUCUGACGUGCAAAUCGAU